AAGUCGUAACAAGGUUUCCGUAGGUGAACCUGCGGAAGGAUCAUUAACACGUAUCCAACGUUAAAACCCCCCCCGUGAACCUUCAGACGUGCUCUGGUAGCCCACACGGCAUAGCAAUUCCUGGUAAAUCAUUGUCGGAAAUAGAUUUUGAGUCAGGAACUUCUGUCCGGUGAGAUAUACUACAGUUACCAUAGAAGCGCUAGUUCUAUCGGCAUUGUUUCCCUAAGCAGUCAGUGGCGUGAAAGUGGUCAACUGAUUGUGGAAGGAUAACGCUUAACGAUUUCGCAGCCGCUUCACGCGGGCGGAGCUUUGCCAAAGGGUCCCCAUGCCCCCUACACGUGCCGAUUUCUAUUAAAAAGCUCCAUUUUCAAUUAUGGAUGGGGUAAAACCAAACAACUGUUAACAAUGGAUAUCUUGGUUCUC
rnacentral:misc_RNA from 1 species